rnacentral:rRNA from 1 species
CCCUAUGCUGCCGAGAAAAGCCUCUAGCGAGCUGGUACAUGGCCCGUACCCCAAACCGACACAGGUGGUCAGGUAGAGAAUACUAAGGCGAUCGAGAGAACUGUGGUUAAGGAACUCGGCAAAAUGCCCCCGUAACUUCGGGAGAAGGGGGACCAGUCCUGGUGACGACAUUUACUGUCUGAGCUGGGGUUGGUCGCAGAGACCAGAGAGAAGCGACUGUUUACUAAAAACACAGGUCCGUGCGAAGUCGUAAGACGAUGUAUACGGACUGACGCCUGCCCGGUGCUGGAAGGUUAAGAGGACCGGUCAGCCACUUCGGUGGCGAAGCUGAGAAUUUAAGCCCCAGUAAACGGCGUGGUAACUAUAACCAUCCUAAGGUAGCGAAAUUCCUUGUCGGGUAAGUUCCGACCUGCACGAAUGGCGUAACGACUUCUCUGCUGUCUCAACCACAGACUCGGCGAAAUUGCAGUACGAGUAAAGAUGCUCGUUACGCGCGGCAGGACGAAAAGACCCCGGGACCUUCACUAUAGCUUGGUAUUGGUGUUCGGUUCGGUUUGUGUAGGAUAGGUGGGAGACUGUGAAACUCGCACGCCAGUGUGGGUGGAGUCAUUGUUGAAAUACCACUCUGACCGUAUUGGACAUCUAACCUCGGACCAUGAUCUGGUUCAGGGACAGUGCCUGGUGGGUAGUUUAACUGGGGCGGUUGCCUCCCAAAAAGUAACGGAGGCGCCCAAAGGUUCCCUCAGCCUGGUUGGCAAUCAGGUGUUGGGUGUAAGUGCACAAGGGAGCUUGACUGUGAGACGUACAUGUCGAGCAGGGACGAAAGUCGGGACUAGUGAUCCGGCACCGGCAAGUGGAAGCGGUGUCGCUCAACGGAUAAAAGGUACCCCGGGGAUAACAGGCUGAUCUUCCCCAAGAGUCCAUAUCGACGGGAUGGUUUGGCACCUCGAUGUCGGCUCGUCGCAUCCUGGGGCUGGAGUAGGUCCCAAGGGUUGGGCUGUUCGCCCAUUAAAGCGGCACGCGAGCUGGGUUUAGAACGUCGUGAGACAGUUCGGUCUCUAUCCGCCGCGCGCGUAAGAAACUUGAGGAAACCUGUCCCUAGUACGAGAGGACCGGGACGGACGAACCUCUGGUGCGCCAGUUGUUCCACCAGGAGCACCGCUGGUUAGCUACGUUCGGAAGGGAUAACCGCUGAAAGCAUCUAAGCGGGAAGCCUGUUCCAAGAUGAGGUUUCUCACCACCUAGCGUGGUUAAGGCCCCCCACAGACCAUGGGGUUGAUAGGCCAGAACUGUAAGCACAGCAAUGUGUUCAGGUGACUGGUACUAAUCGGCCGAGGACU